rnacentral:lncRNA from 1 species
GCGAGGGCGGCGGCGCUGUCCGGUCCCUGAAAUCCCAUUCGCGGAUCUUCCGGAAACCCCGCCCCCUUCUCACCGGCUACAGCGGGUCCCCCGGCCUUCUCCGCUGCAACCCCGCAGCCUUGACCGACGACGCGGCCCGUCCCCGCCAACCCCGACCCCGACCCCGACCCCGACCUGGACCCCCGCCCUGCUCCGCGGCGGCCGGACCUACUGUGGAGGCGAGGCCCGACGGCUCCACCUCCGUGUCCCCGCCUCGCUGCGCCCCCUGGCGGCCGGUCCAGCCUCUGCAGGAUACAACACAGGAACGGCCGAAUGGAAGAGCUGCAGAGAAGGGGCCACGCAGAGCUUCCACGCCCUCUUCGCGUUCCCACCAGACUGCACCUCCCUCUAAACCCCUUUGUUUACGGUUUUUAUGGAGGUUUCAUUUACCAGAAUUUUCAGCUGGAUGCACGGUAGUCCAGAAUAACCACUGUAAUGGACUUCCCAGCCUCCCUUGCACUUGUGUGGCUACGUGACCAAGUUCAUCAUGGGAUUGGAGCAAAAGUGCUGUGUGCAACAUUUGGGUCUUAUCCUGAAAGGUGAGGGCAUGCCUGUCCCCUCCUUGUCUCCACCUUGCGACUUGGAACUUGGACAUAGUGACAAGCCACCGUGGAUCAUGAAGAUGAUGGCAGCACCUGAGGAGGGUGGAGGGAGCCGACACAACCUCACUGAGCUGGACCACCUACCCGCUCCCAGCCACCUCCCUCCAGACUGUUACGUGAGAAAUAAACUUGUCUUGUGUAAGUCAGUGCUCUCGGGGUCUCAGAAGUGCAGCUAAACUUCUGUCUGCACUAAUACACAGAGACUGUCCUGGAUUCUGUAAUGCAAGUGAAUAAUACAGUUCUAUUCUAC